rnacentral:ncRNA from 24 species
CUCUUAUCAAGAGAAGCGGAGGGACCUGGCCCGAUGAAGCUUCGGCAACCAGCCUGCGUCACCAGGCAAGGUGCCAAGUCCAGCCGGGCAUACUACCGGGAGAUAAGAG